rnacentral:rRNA from 1 species
CAGUAGCCGCGCGGGAAUACGUAGGUGGCAAGCGUUGUCCGGAAUUAUUGGGCGUAAAGGGCUCGCAGGCGGUUUCUUAAGUCUGAUGUGAAAGCCCCCGGCUCAACCGGGGAGGGUCAUUGGAAACUGGGAAACUUGAGUGCAGAAGAGGAGAGUGGAAUUCCACGUGUAGCGGUGAAAUGCGUAGAGAUGUGGAGGAACACCAGUGGCGAAGGCGACUCUCUGGUCUGUAACUGACGCUGAGGAGCGAAAGCGUGGGGAGCGGACAGGAUUAGAUACCCCCGUAGUCCCUGUCUCUUAU